AUUGAACGCUGGCGGCAUGCUUUACACAUGCAAGUCGAACGGCAGCACGGGUGCUUGCACCUGGUGGCGAGUGGCGGACGGGUGAGUAAUACAUCGGAACGUGUCCUGAAGUGGGGGAUAACGCAUCGAAAGAUGUGCUAAUACCGCAUAAUCUCUAAGGAGAAAAGUAGGGGAUCGAAAGACCUUAUGCUUUUGGAGCGGCCGAUGUCUGAUUAGCUAGUUGGUAAGGUAAUGGCUUACCAAGGCGACGAUCAGUAGUUGGUCUGAGAGGACGGCCAGCCACACUGGGACUGAGACACGGCCCAGACUCCUACGGGAGGCAGCAGUGGGGAAUUUUGGACAAUGGGCGCAAGCCUGAUCCAGCAAUGCCGCGUGAGUGAAGAAGGCCUCGGUUGUAAGACUCUUUCAGUUGAAAGAAAAAUACAUAGACUAAUAAUACAUGAUUCAUGACGGUAUCAACAGAAGAAGACACC
rnacentral:rRNA from 1 species